GACGAACCGAGCGAACGUUGUUCGGAAUCACUGGGCUUAAAGGGCGCGUAGGCGGCUUGCAAAGUCAGGGGUGAAAGCCUCCAGCUUAACUGGAGAAGUGCCUUUGAUACUGGCGAGCUCGAGGGAGGUAGGGGCAGGUGGAACUUCCGGUGGAGCGGUGAAAUGCGUUGAUAUCGGAAGGAACGCCGGUGGCGAAAGCGACCUUCUGGACCUCUUCUGACGCUGAGGCGCGAAAGCUAGGGUAGCGAACGGG
rnacentral:rRNA from 1 species